rnacentral:misc_RNA from 1 species
UCCCGGUUGGCCCGGGCGGUCUCGUGUGAAAAAUACAACACACGACAAGGGUUGCGCUCGUUGCGGGACUUAACCCAACAUCUCACGACACGAGCUGACGACGGCCAUGCAGCACCUGUCACCAGUCCAGCCGAACUGACCACCUAGUUUCUUAGGUGUACGACUGGGAUGUCAAGCCCUGGUAAGGUUCUACGCGUAGCAUCGUAUUAAACCACAUCAUCCUCCGCUUGUGCGGAGCCCCGUCAAUUCCUUUGAGUUUUAAUCUUGCGAUCGUACUCCCCAGGCGGCAUACUUAACGCGUUAGCUUCUCAGCACAAAGGGUCGAUACUUCGUACUAAUAGUAUGCAUCGUUUACGGCGUGGACUAC